UUUAGUCCAUGCCACUCCAUUGUUGAACUUAUCUGAAACAUGCUAGAUAGAAAUGUUAGUCCAAUAAGAGAUAUGUUGUCAUCAAUUAUCAAAACCACCUAGGGAGCACUUGUGCUUUCAAUUUUCAACAACUUUUAUCCAUAGGGAAAAAUUAUCAUGGCCUCUGUACCUAAGUUAUCAAGUACAGGAGCUCGAUGACGUGCAUUGGUUGCAUGCUCCUGGCCUUAAAAUAGAGAAACAUGCUAUCAUAAUGGGAGCAAAGAUUGCGUGCUUUCAUUUCAAUGCUCUUAAUUUUCCAGCCCAUUAUUUACUUUCCUCGGACAUGGUAGAAACUAGAUGAUACCCCGCACGUUGCUGCGGGUACACUUGUAUCUACUACCCCUAUAAAAGAAAGAGAGGGCGGAGAACCAAGUCAUCCUAUCUAUCCAAACCUGCAAGCUGAAGGCCUACAUUCCUCUAAAACAUCAAACACGUUUUAUACUUUAAUUACCCACCAAUACCAUUGGGUUAACCCGUUCCGAAAAAACCCACUGCACCACGACCUUUGCCCACGGCACGCACGCACGAACCCCCACACGACGACCUUUCCCACACCCCGCACCUCCUCCUCCCAACGACCAGAGCAUGGUCGGGCCUUCGCCGCCGGCCGCCGCCCGCCCAUCCACGGCCAAGCCUCCGCCGCCGCUCCACGGCCAAGCCUCCGCCGCCGUUUGCAGCCGCCAUGGAAUGCCUGGAUGUCGUCAAGAUGCACGCAGGUGCAGCACCUGCAACGGAACGGAAGACCACCGAUGCUCUGCUCUUGAGACAACAGAUGCACGCAGAGGCUAGAUACAUACAUAGCAAUCGUCAGGCUCCAGUUUUGUACUGACCACUCCAAGGCUUGUUCAACCUGGUGAAUCUUUCCUUCAUCUGCAUCAUUUUUCGCUUCAGUCUGUACAUCCUCGCCCUCCGCCCGCCGAUCCUAUUCUCCGCCGCCCGCCUUCCUCUGCUCCUCCUCUGCCGCCAACGAUCUCAUCUGAGCCAGUACAGAAUAUUGCCACUCAUCAACAUCUGCAACAUCUAAGGUCCUUUUCGUCACAUAUUCAUAUUUACUUGAGAUUCUGCUUACUUUGUUUGCACCAUUUAAUAAUUGAGCUUCUCAAUAUUGCAUGAAUAUUUCUAAUGAUGUACGAUGUUCCCCAUUUCUUUAACAUCCCUGGCAUGUGUGUGCUCCA